UUAGCUCCAUGCACUCCUCCAGAGAUUUAAUGACAUCACCUUGGCCAACAUUCAGGAAUUCAGAACUCUAAGUUACCCUGAACUAUCUAAAAACGAAAAUGGAAAGAUAAUUCUGCUUCAUGUCUGGUGUACUCCAACUGUGGAUAAGGUGCCCUUCAGGGCCUUAAAGGACAGGAACAAAGUAUGGCAGUUUGUCAUCAGAGCUCCAGGAAGCCACGAGGAAACUGAGCUUAGGAACCAAAUUGCUCAAAAUGGGAAAGAAAUGAAGAGAUGUACAGCAGAUGCUCUCAGCCUGGAAGUGUAACCUUCGGGAAGAAGGAACCACCAGUCAUGCUAAUUGGUCUUGAACAAGGCUUGUUUGCGCUGAGAGAUGAGAGAGAGCACCCCAUUUCUUCCUGAUUCAGUUCUGUAGACAUCUUUCUGGGAUUUGCAAUUGAUAAUUAUAGACACAGAGAUACACUUGGCCUAAUUUGCCAGCCUAUUUGGAGUCAUGAGUGUCACCCUGUAUGUCUGGUAUAUGUG
rnacentral:lncRNA from 1 species